rnacentral:rRNA from 1 species
UACGGGGGGUGCGAGCGUUGUCCGGAUUUAUUGGGUUUAAAGGGUGCGUAGGUGGCUAUUUAAGUCAGUGGUGAAAUACAGCCGCUCAACGGUUGAGGUGCCAUUGAUACUGAAUAGCUUGAAAGAAUUGGAGGCUGCCGGAAUGGAUGGUGUAGCGGUGAAAUGCAUAGAUAUCAUCCAGAACACCGAUUGCGAGGGCAGGUGGCUACGAUUUAUUUGACACUGAGGCACGAAGGCAUGGGGAGCAAACAGG